rnacentral:lncRNA from 1 species
UAUCGCUUGUGUUAAUGUUUAAUGGUAUGGUACCAGGCUGUACCCUGUUACUUUCAGAACACUUACAUAUCGUUUUGAGAGAUAAUGCAUCUCCUGCCUCAAUACCAGUGCCCGAGACCAGCUGCGCCACUGAGAUGGGCUGCUUUCUGCUGCUGCUGCCCACCACUGGUCACCAGAGCCUCACCUCCCGUUCCCAUGCCAUCACCCGCGUCCCUGCUCGUUAACACACCAUAAUCUUUCUGCUGGUGAGAGACAUAGCCUUCUUUGUGCAGCAGGAAAACAGGGAUGGAGCUCCAGCCUCUUCUGCCUGUAUUCUGGUUCUGUGUAGCAGAUGGGAGAUUCCAGUAGAGGACUGACAAACGCGUGUGGUGGCUGCGUCCAGGAGGCCAGGUUGUCGCACCUUCACUAGCCCCAGCAGGUCAGCGUUGUGUCUGUCCAGAACUACUCA